CGCCUUGCCAGCCCGCUCAGAAAUCAAAAGGAAUUGACGGGGGCCCGCACAAGCGGUGGAGCAUGUGGUUUAAUUCGAUGAUACGCGAGGAACCUUACCUGGGCUCAAAUGUAUGUUGACGUAUUCUGAAAGGGAUACUUCUUCGGACAAUAUACAAGGUGCUGCAUGGUUGUCGUCAGCUCGUGCCGUGAGGUGUCGGGUUAAGUCCCGCAACGAGCGCAACCCCUAUCUUAUGUUGCCAGCACGUUAUGGUGGGGACUCGUAAGAGACUGCCGGGGUCAACUCGGAGGAAGGUGGGGACGACGUCAAGUCAUCAUGCCCCUUAUGUCCAGGGCUUCACACAUGCUACAAUGGCCAGUACAGAGGGCUGCGAGACCGUGAGGUGGAGCGAAUCCCUUAAAGCUGGUCUCAGUUCGGAUCGGGGUCUGCAACUCGACCCCGUGAAGUCGGAGUCGCUAGUAAUCGCAGAUCAGCAACGCUGCGGUGAAUACGUUCCCGGCCUU
rnacentral:rRNA from 1 species